GGACUUCUGAAGCAGUGGCCUUAUCAAGGCCAACAUAUUCUCCGACAGCCUCCUCCUGCCAACUGUGGCAAGGUCUUAUGUAAGCCUGACUGAAGCCCUCUUGAGGAGGUAAGGGUGCCAGGAAUCGGAGCCCACUUACAGGACAGUCAGCUCACAAGGCAAGGUCAGGUUUGGGGCUGGGGGAGUCGUUGAGAGAAGGAAAGCCUAGUUAGAGGCCAAUGCCAGGGACACACAGGAAGGUAGGUUUGCCAAAAGGGGCCCAGUCUGUGGUCCUCUAGCCUCAUGCUAUGCCCCCCCCAUUUAUGUAUAUUUCACCUGUGGCCCCCUUGGAAUAUCCUGGCGAAACACUGAUGUAGAUAACUAUGUUGAAAUAUGGCAUCCUUUUAUAAAAUACUUUACUGAUAACACUGAAGAAUUGCAACGACCUAAAUCACAGAUCGGACUUUGGCAAACUUAGAUUGAUCUGUCCUCAUUGGGGGGAGGGGGCGAGCUGGGAUUUUGUUUUUGUAUUUUCCCCUCUCUCUUUUUUUGUAAUUGCUAUAUACUGGAAAUUAAUAAAACUAUAUUUAAAAAGACAGUGGCCCAGCAGGUGUCUGUGGGAAAGCCACGAGCAAGAUCUAAACACGAGAGUACUCUUCCCACCUGCAGUUCCCAAUAUCUGGUGUUCAGAAGCAAACUACUUCUGACCGUGGAGGUAUGGAUGGUGGGAUUUGUAGUCUAGUAGCAGCUAGAGAGUGGGACGCAGGUGGUGCUGUGGUCUAAACCACUGAGCCUAGGGCUUGCUGAUCAGAAGGUCGGCGGUUCGAAUCCCCGCGACGGGGUGAGCUCCUGUUGCUUGGUCCCUGCUCCUGCCAACCUCGCAGUUCGAAAGCACGUCAAGUGCAAGUAGAUAAAUAGGUACCGCUCCAGCGGGAAGGUAAAUGGUGUUUCCGUGCGCUGCUCUGGUUCGCCAGAAGCGGCUUAGUCAUGCUGGCCACAUGACCCAGAAGCUGUCUGCGGACAAACACCGGCUCCCUCGGCCUAUAGAGCGAGAUGAGUGCCGCAACCCUACAGUCAUCCGUGACUGGACCUAAUGGUCAGGGGUACCUUUACCUUUAGCAGCUAGAGAGGGCCGCAUGUUUCCCCAGCCCUGGACCCUAUAGGGAGGUCCACUUCACAGAUCCACCCAGUGAGGUGGACAGGGCAAUUGACAAAAACGUAGGCCAUCAAAAAUUGUGCCAGUCUUCAAAGGUACCACAAGACCCUUUGCUGUUUAAGAACGUAAGAUGAGCCUGCUGAUAUUGAGCCACUAGCCCAUCCACUCCACUCAACCACCCCCUAUCACCUGCCACCCAAGGCAAGCCCUGGCCCCACUGACUGCACCGACACCUUGCUCAUUGGGUAACCUCUUCCUUUGUCCACCUGUUCAUUUGGCUGCUCCCUCAGCCCCAGCUUUCAGCAUCUGUCUCCACCGGCAUGUUGCCCUAAUGUGACAAAGAUGGUUGCCAAGGCAACAAUUUCAUUAAAGAAAAUGGCAGGGUUUUAAGCCCGUCUAAUUUCUCUAAGCAAAGUACAAAAAAAGAAGAGAAGAGAAGAGAAAGGAUACUCUGGGGCUGCAGAUUCCAGUGUUUCCGCACCCCCUGACGGAGUCCCAUAUGUCUCUUUUGAACCCCAAACCCUCUGAUCAAUCCAGGAUUUAAUCCCUCCUCCUCCUCCCCUUUCCCAGGCUGAUUCCCCAAGGAGCCAAUUCCCUUCCUCUCAUUUCCUGGGAAACUUUGUGAUGGCUUAAAAAAACGCAGAAGCCUGAACAUCUUCUCAUGGAACCAUGUGACUGGGUCAAGGCCUUUUAUCUGGCGGAGAUGCUGGAAAUUAGGGUAAGGGCUUCAUGGUCAAACGUGAGCGUGGUAAUUAAAAAAUAAAAAAGGGUAAGAAAUGUAUAUGCUACCAGGGAACCACUCCUACUCCCAUGACGGCUGUCGCUAAUUAUGAAAGGUUCAUCCAAUAUUAUUUAGGUGUGGGUUCAGGCCUAGUCUUGGGUCUGAGUCUCCCUUGGUCACCCUGAUGGAUGACGUUUGCAUGUGGGGCAAGGGGGGUGCAGCUUUGCUCCUGUUUCUUAAUGUCUCGUUGGCUUUUGACACCUGGACCGCGUCUUGGGGACACUGUGUUACAGUGGUUGCAGUCCUACCUACGGAACUGAGCCCAGAGAGUGCUUUUCAGCCCUCUGGUGGGUAGGUUACGGGGGGCCACAGGGCACAACCUUAUCUCCAAUGUUGUUUAAUGUUUAUAUGAAGCCACUGCGAGUGGCCACAAAGUUUGGGGGCAAGGCUGAUAGCUUUGCAUCAUAUGGUCCAGGUCAACACGAUGCAGCCCAAAUAUGGGUUGCCAUCUUCUGGGUCUGCACUCCUGUGUGAGUCACAUGACCAGCACAAGAUCACUGCCCCCCCCAUGCUUUUUCGGAGGCAGCACCCGAAAGCAUUGCAGCCUGGAAGAGUGCUUUCUUCAGGGCAGCGAUUUUGUUCGGCGCCUGACAAAUGUGUAUUUUCAGGCGCCAUGCCUGAAAAAAGUGCAGCCCACAUUUGUGCAAGAUUGCAGCGGCCGUUUGGCUGCUAUCCUGUCAUGAGAAGAACCGGGAUGUCCUGGUUUUUUUCUGGGACAGUUGAGGGGUAUGCAAACCCCAGCAUCUCCAGGUAGGCCUGGGAAUAUCCCUCCCUGCCUAAAAUCCCGGAGAGCUGCUGCCCAUCUGUGCAGGCAAUAUUGAUCUCUAUGGACCAAGGUUCUGACUGGGCGGAAGGCAGUUUCCUCUGUUCCCACCCACAUCUCAACUCCUUUGCAAAUCUGUCUCGGCGCAGCUGCUGUGAGUGGGCUGCACAUUUCCGCGAGGCCACCCUGGACUUGGGAGAUAAGAGAUGAGAGGAGGAAGUCGCUUGAGGUUAGCCGGGGGAAUGUCAACAGUCAGCUCUGGGGUCCGUCCUACCAAGCCGUAUCAGACGUGGGCAUUGCCCUUGUCUAGGGAAUAAUUAGCUGUUUGGAGGUUUCUGCUAUUUAUUUCCACUAAGUCAAGGGGCAAAGCAGAAGAUAAGCAUGUUCUUAAAAAAGAAAUGGUGGGGGGAUGGCCAUAUAUUUUUUAAUGAGAGACAUGAUGUUAAGAAGCUAAGAACAGCUUGGCUGCUCAAUGGCCCAUCUAUCCCAGCAUCCUGUUCUCACAGUGGCCAAACAGAUGCCUGUGGGAAACCCGCAAGUAGGAUUCGAACACAAGACCCCUCUCCCCUCCUGGGGUUUCCAGCAGUUGGUAAACUUGAGCCAGCAGUGCUGCAGAUUGGGACCCUUCCCUAGGCAGCCAGGAACGGGGACCUUGUGGUACCAAGAGAGCCACAGAUUUCAUACCCCUGAAUGAUAGUCUUUCUUGGCUGACGGUGCAUGCUCUACCUCUUUCUCAUAAGUUGCUACAUUAUUUUCCUUAAAAAACAAAACAAAACACCUUGGGGCAUAAGUGGAUGAAAUUUGCAGGCAAGUUAACUCCAUCUUAAGACAUGAUUCCUGCUAAAUUUCAGGAGGAUAACAGCAUUGGUUUCUCCACAUGGGCAGUUCGGAGUGAGUAAAACGGGAAUUUCUGGAUUUCCCCAUGUGUGUAAAAUCAAUAAGCCAACCAAGUACCUGUGGGAAACCCAUAAGCAGGACCCGAACACAAGAGUGCUCUCUUUCUGUGGCUUCCAGCAACUUGUAUUCAGCAGCAUUACAGUGGUACCUCUGGUUACGUACUUAAUUCGUUCCGGAGGGCCGUUCUUAACCUGAAACUGUUCUUAACCUGAAGACCACUUUAGCUAAUGGGGCCUCCUGCUGCUGCCGUGCCGCCAGAGCACGAUUUCUGUUCUCAUCCUGAAGCAAAGUUCUUAACCCGAGGUACUAUUUCUGGGUUAGCGGAGUCUGUAACCUGAAGCGUAUGUAACCUGAAGCAUAUGUAACCCGAGGUACCACUGUAUUGCUUCAGACCAUGGAGGCAACACAUAUCCAUUAUGGCUACUAGCCAUCGAUAGCCCUCUCCUCCAUGAAUGUGUCCAAUCUUCUUUUAAAGCCCUUUAAGUUGGUGGUCAUCACUGCCUCCUGUGGGAGAGAGUUCCAUAGUUCAACUAUGUGCAGUGCGAAGAAGGACUUUCUUUUAUUCCCAGGAUAGCUCAGUCGGUAAAGCAUGAGACUCUUACUCUCAGGUUCGUGGGUUCGAGCCCCCUGUUGGGCAAAAGAUUUCUGCAUUGCAGAUGGUUGGACUUAGACGAUCCUUGUGGUCCCUUCCAACUCUACAGUUUCUAAUCUUCCAAUACAGUGGUACCUCAGGUUAAGUACUUAAUUCGUUCCGGAGGUCCGUUCUUAACCUGAAACUGUUCUUAACCUGAAGCACCACUUUAGCUAAUGGGGCCUCCCACUGCCUCCCCGCCGCCGGAGCAUGAUUUCUGUUCUCUUCCUGAAGCAAAGUUCUUAACCCGAGGUAAUAUUUCUGGGUUAGCGGAGUAUGUAACCUGAAGCGUAUGUAACCCAAGGUACCACUGUACUCAGUUUGAUUGGAUCUCCACGAGUUCUGAUUUACUGGCUACAAUCUUCCCUGUGCACUAGAGUCCACAGCUGUUAAGCUGAUACUUGUGACCUCAGGAUUUAUUCCACAUGCUUCUGUUAAGUUCAGUGUUCUCUGAGCUAUGCAAAGUACAUCCAAAUCUUCCUUCUUUUUUUAUUAUUCCUAGGCCUCAGCAGGGGAGGACUUAAACCCCCCCAGCCAAAAAAGUGGAACAGUCUAGGGCUCUCCCCAAGCUAGGUUGGUCUAUGGUGGUAGCCAUCAAAACACUUUUCAUGGGGGCGUUUACAAAGGAAGCGGGGCGGGGGGGAGAUCCACCAGUAGGAAAAAGCUUCCAACUGCACCACACUCAGUUCCACAGGCUAUUUCUGAAACAAAAAAUGAGGGCAGUUCUUUACCAGUAAUCAAGAACAGGUGAGGCUGGUAUACACACUCUUGGGCUUACAUUGUAAAUCACUUUGAGAUUCUUCAUGGGAAGCAACUCUCAAAAAAUUAUUAUUAUUAUUAUUAUUAUUAUUAUUAUUAUUAUUAUUAUUAUCCUAACUCACAGGACUGUUGUAAGAGGGAAAGUGGGGGAAUCAUGCAUGCUGGCUCAAAUUUCUUGGGAGAAAAGUUGGAAUAUAUAUAUAAUAAGAUCAUUAUGAAAAGCUGGUUAUUGGUGUUAAUGCUGAGUCAUGGAAUGUGCAAAGUAAAUUUCUUUCCGUUGGCACUGAGGAAAGUUCCCUUGGCACGGUGUGUCAAGUAAUGGGUGGCAUCUGGCCGGCUCAACAUCCCUGAAGCAAUACAGAUUAUGGAAGCCUAUUGAAUCAACGCCCGGGCACCAAAGCUACAUUUGUGUGCAGCCUUUAAACUGAAAUGACCCCAAUUAUUUUGCAUUCUCUUAGUUUGUGCCUUGGUUUUUUAAAAAAAUGAGUCUACUCAAGCCCAAGUUCUCUGAGGGCUUCCAAAGAUUUUGCAGAUGGAAGUCAGGGCAGAAAUGCUGAUGAGAAGGUAGGCCCAGUUCUGAAUGAACUCAGCUUGAACAAGUCCAGUCAAGCCAGAGUUGGACUGGGCCUGAACAUUGGUUGCAAUUCGGAUCAGGUCCUUCCCCCAUCACUUGGAAGUUUCUACAGUCCAGAGUCCCUCCACCCCUUCCACUCACUGUGCACCUGCUUUUUUUUAAAAAAACCUAACUACUAUUGUGGGACGCGGGUGGCGCUGUGGGUUAAACCACAGAGCCUAGGACUUGCCGAUCAGAAGGUCGGCGGUUCGAAUCCCCGCGACGGGGUGAUCUCCCGUUGCUCGGUCCCUGCUCCUGCCAACCUAGCAGUUCGAAAGCACGUCAAAGUGCAAGUAGAUAAAUAGGUACCGCUCCGGCGGGAAGGUAAACGGCGUUUCCGUGCGCUGCUGUGGUUCGCCAGAAGCGGCUUAGUCAUGCUGGCCACAUGACCCGGAAGCUGUACGCCGGCUCCCUUGGCCAAUAAAGCGAGAUUAGCGCCACAACCCCAGAGUCGGUCACGACUGGACCUAAUGGUCAGGGGUCCCUUUACCUUUACUAUUGUAAAUGUAAAAAGCUGCAGCUUUACUGAAUACAACCAAAGGAAACAUUCCCCAGCUCCAAACAUUUACCCAGCCCCAAUUUUAACCUCUCGAUCCUUCCUGACGGCAAGCAAAGAAAUCAGAAAGAUAAAAAUCAGAAUUGUAGAACCCAGAGCUACAGCAGUCAGAGUGGUUUAACAAUACAGCUCACUUCCCAGGGAAUUCUGGGAACUAUUAGGGGGUUUCCUAACCACUUCCAGGACCCUUAUUGAACUACAACUCCCAUAAAUCUUUGGGGAAGCCGUGACUGAUUAAAAUGGUAUCAUAGUGCUUUAAAUGCAGGAUGUGAACAUGGUGACUGAGGCAGAUGGUUGGUGUUGUUAUCCCUAAUGUAUAUGCACAUAACAAAGUUAAACCAUACUUUAAUAAAUUUAUCGGGCUUUGAAAUGCUGCGCAAGAUGCUAAACUUAUGUAUCCACUUUUCCAUAAAUGUACCAAACAUAUUCCAUAAACAGAGCAAACCUUUGGGUGACAGUAGGUUAAGGGAGCCCCUUCCAGGUUUCCCCAAUAUUUAGCUAUAGAAAGGUGAGCUUCCAUUAAAAGAUGCCUUAUUAUUUUUUGCUGUUUUCCUCUUGUUGCUAAACAGGUGACAGUGAAGGGAGAGCAUCGGAAGCAGGAUAUUACCCUGAUAGUGGAUCCGAGGGGAUAAAAUAACUCUUCAUUUAAUAUGUGGUCAUGUCCUCUUCUGAAUACCAGUUUCUGGAGACCACAGGAGGAGAAAGCACUCUUGAACCCAAAUCCUGCUUUCGGAUUUCCCGUAGGGGCACCUGGUUGGCCACUGAGAACAGGAUGAUGCUGGGCUAGCUGGACCACUGGCCUGAUCUAGCCGGGAUCUUCUUAGGUUCUCUUCUGGUCUUAUGGAGGAGCCCACAGGGCAAGUCAGCACCAUGGAGAGCUCCUCAAGGGCAACAUGAUCCAACGAGGGCUGGAAGGAAACUCAGGCCUUUUCAGCCCUUGUCUUCAGCCCUGACUUCAGCCCACCUCUCCUAGCC
rnacentral:lncRNA from 1 species